GACAAUAAAGCAGUUAAAUUCCAAAGAGUCUGUAUGGGUUAAUUCAAAUGCACAAUGUGGCAGUGCUGGAAUAAUCAAUUUAAAAAAUAUAUAUUAUUCAUGUGUGCGAAAUGAAGGAAUAUAUUUGAAGAAUUUCAAAUGAGGUACAUGGAGACAAGAGUAAAACAAAAAUUGAAAACAGGAUAUGAUGAUCAGUUUGUAAUUUGUGUUUGUUUUCUGGUGUGUAUUGAUGGUUUCAACUGAUGGCUAGUGAGCAAACUUAGAGGUGGGCGUUAUGAGGAUAUACGAAGAUGACAGUAAAAUAGUGUUUUUACCUUUUCAACUAGUGUUGUGUUGUCAUUUGUCGCCUGAAGCAAGCUGCGAGUAAUAAGAGCGUCAGAGGACAUUGAUUGAUGUGAUUAGAUGGGCAAAAACCUUGUUUUUUCAGUAAGUACAUACUCAACACACUUAUUACAACUACAUUUUACAUUUUGUUUUACAUGACUUGUCGAAAAGAGAAGUGUGUUGAGGCAAUUCUGCUGAUCUAGUCCCAUCCCGAUUUCAACCAAGGAUUUCACUGCCAGACACACAAUCUACAUAUCUACAGUACUAUCUAUUAUACCACCAUAACCAAGGAAAAAGGAAGAAACAAAGGAAACAGAAAUUUGACAUAGUAUAACAUACGAUUUGAAUACAGCAAUGACAAGUUAAAUGGAAGUUGAUAGUAACAAUUGAUAGCAAUUUGAUUUGAAUACAGCAAUGACAAGUUAACUGGAAGUUUUAACAUAUUUUAACAGUUUGAUUUGAAUGCAACAGUAACAAUUUAAUCGGUUUUAAGAGCGUUGGAGUCACAAUCUCGCACACGCUCUGGGCUCCAUCACCUGGGCUCUCUGCUCUCAGCCCUCCGGUUGCUUUCCAAGGCUGGAAGUCCCUUAUUUUCAAGGGCGCUAGACUUUGUUCCUUUCAGCUUAUUUUACAGGUGCAACCCCAUGAGGGUCAACGUCAAGUGGAAAUGUUUUGAUUGUGACUUUCGAGAUCUGCACAAUACUAAAAAUUACAUUACAGUAGAUUUCCAAUUUUUUCAAUAAUUUAAUGUCAAUACUAUUUUGUGCAAAAAUAUGCAGGCUACUUUGCUUCUGUUUACAUUUGAUAGUUUUCUAUAGCAAUUCUAGUGGAUGCAUUUUUCAUUUGAUACAGGGCUGUAUAAUAAAGUGAGAAAAGGUCAGUAGUCAUGGUGUGUGGUAUCAUUUUGUACAGAAUAACUGAAAACAUAUCAUGGUACAUUGUGUUUUAAAAUGGUGUGUAUUGUGAUUUCUUUUUUUUAUGUCGCACAGCACUAACUUGGGAUGUGAAUAAUAAACAGAUCAGUUGAA